AUUAGAGGAUACGGCGGCCGCGGAGGCGGUGCCUGUGGCUUCUGCCCCGCUCAGCGCGCGGCCCGACCCUCGCGGCUCGCUGCUCCAGUUCCACCAUGGCUCCCAAAGGUGGCUCCAAGCAACAGUCCGAGGAGGACUUGCUUCUGCAGGAUUUCAGCCGCAACCUGUCGGCCAAGUCCUCGGCGCUCUUCUUCGGGAACGCCUUCAUCGUGUCCGCCAUUCCCAUCUGGUUAUAUUGGCGAAUAUGGCAUAUGGACCUUAUUCAGUCUGCUGUUCUGUAUAGUGUGAUGACCCUAGUAAGCACUUACUUGGUAGCCUUUGCAUACAAAAAUGUGAAGUUUGUUCUCAAGCACAAAGUAGCACAGAAGAGGGAAGAUGCUGUUUCCAAAGAAGUAACUCGAAAACUUUCUGAAGCCGAUAAUAGAAAGAUGUCCCGGAAGGAAAAAGAUGAAAGAAUCUUGUGGAAGAAGAAUGAAGUUGCUGAUUAUGAAGCUACAACAUUUUCCAUCUUCUAUAACAACACCCUAUUUCUGGUCUUGGUCAUUGUUGCCUCCUUCUUUAUAUUGAAGAACUUCAACCCCACAGUGAACUACAUUUUGUCCAUAAGCGCUUCCUCAGGCCUCAUCGCCCUCCUGUCAACUGGCUCCAAGUAGACGGUGUCAGCUUUGCGUGCACCCUCCCCCCCUCUUUGUAUCUAUGGGUGGCCUGCGCAUGCAGAAGUUCCACAGGAUCAAAGCCACACCACAGCCGUGACAAUGCCAGAUCCUUAACCUGCUGAGCUACUAGUGAACUCCUCUCCUGGACUUUGGAUUUCUUAAUAUCCUUUUCCUCUUUAUCAAGAAAACAUAACCAGUUUCUCCCAUUCUAAAAUAAGUUUCCUCUGACCCUCCAUACCUGUGUAGCCCCACCAUCUUCUCUCUCUUGCUCUCUUUUUUCUUUUUUUGGGUUUUUGUUUUUUUAGGCUGCACCGGAGGCAUAUGGAAGUUCCCAGGCUAGGGGUCGAAUUGGAGCUACACCUGCCAGCCACAGCCACAGCCACAGAAACACGGGAUCUGAGCUGUGUCUGUGACCUAUAACAUAGCUCACGGCGAAGUGGGAUCCCCAACCCACUGAGUGAGGCCAGGGAUCAAACCAAAUCCUCAUGGAUACCAGUCGGAAUUGUUUCUGCUGCACCACAACAGGAACUCCCCAUCUUCUCUUCUUAAACUUCUAAAAGGUCAGUUGAGACUCCCUGCAUUCCCCUCACAUCCCAGGCCCUUUGUCACCAUGUCAGAAGCCAAGGUCCCCAGGAACCUCCCUGGGGUUAGGUAGACUUUUCUGUUGGUAGCUGCCUGUAACUAGACAUUUCUCAGGCCCAUGGAUGUAGUCUUACUGGAUGUCCCUGUUGGAUGCCCCACAGGUACUGCCAACUUCUUGGUACUUAUUAAACCUGUCCUUCUUAUUUCCUAAUCUCAUUUGGUGGUAUCACCAGCAACUUGGCCUCCUAAUCCAGGAACCUGGGUGUUAUCCUUAGGCACUGUCCUUUUCUUUCUUUUUAAAGUUUUUUUUUUAUUAUAGUUGAUUUACGAUGUUCUGUCAAUUUCUGCUGUACAGCAAAGUGACCCAGUCAUACAUAUAUAUGCACAUUCUUUUUCUCACAUUAUCCUCCAUCAGGUUCCAUCACAAGUGUUUGGCUAUGGUUCCCUGUGCUAUACAGCAGAAUCUCAUUGCUUAUCAAUCCCACAUUCCCUUUUAAUCGUCAAAUCUAGUUGAUCGUCCCUCCUAAAUACUUCUUUAAUCCAGUAGUUCUCAAAUUUUAGCAUGCAUCAGAAUCACCUGGAGGGCUUGGGAAACACUGCUUAUUUGGUGCUUCACCCUGAGUUUCUGACCCAGAAAGUCUGGAGUGGAGUCUGAGGAUUUGCAUUUCUGACAAACUCCCAGGUGAUGCUGAUGUCUGGUACAAGGACUGUACUUUUUAAACAGCUUUAAGUGUAUAAUUCAGUAAUUUUUAAUAAAUGUAUCAAGUGUACAACUAACUAUUUAUUUAUUUAUUUAUUUGCUAUUUCUUGGGCCGCUCCUGUGGCAUAUGGAGGUUCCCAGGCUGGGGGUCCAAUCGGAGCUGUAGCCACUGGCCUAUUCUAGAGCCACAGAACGCGGGAUCCAAGCCACGUCUGCAGCCUACACCACAGCUCACGGCAACGCCGGAUCGUCAACCCACUGAGCAAGGGCAGGGACCGUACCCGCAACCUUGUGGUUCCUAGUCGGAUUUGUUAACCACUGUGCCACGACAGGAACUCCACAACUAACACUUUAAAAUUCGGUUUUUGGACUGGGGAUUUGGGAUUGGCCUGUACACAAUGGUAUAUGGAAUGACUGGCCAAUGGGGCCCUGUAGUAUAGCACAGGGAACUCUACACAAUAUACUGUGAUAAUCUAUGUGGGAAAAGGAUCUGAAAAAGAGUGGAUGUGUGUAUAUGUAUAACUGAAUCACUUUGUUGUACAGCAGAAACGAUCACAACACUUAACUACAGUAAAACUAAAAAAUGAAAAAAAAAAUUCAGGUUUUAGAACAUUUCCAUCAUCUCAAUAAGAAAGAUCCUUCGUGCCCAUUUACAGUUAAUCCCAUUUCUAUCCCCAACCCUAGGAAACCACUCAUCUAUUUUGUGCCCCUAUGGGUUUAUUAUUUCUGGACAUAUCAUCUAAAUGGAAUCAUAGAGUAUGUCUUUUGUGUCUGACUUUCACUUUUAGCAUAAUGUUUGUGAGGUUCAUCCAUGUUAUAGCACAGGCCAGUAUAUCGUUUCUUUUAUUGCUGAGUAGUAUUCCAGUGUGUGGCUGCGGGGACCACACUUGGAGAAUCCCUGCUCUGGCUCAACUGUAAACUGCCAACAUCCAGUCCCUUAUCACCUCUCAUGCAAAACAUGACAAGCCUAUGUCUUGUUUGGAUAUUCCUUGCCUCCCCCCUACACAUCCACUGUAGCUUCUCCAAAUAGAAAUCUGUUCAAGUCACUUGCCUGCAAACAUGUGCCUCAUGGAAUCCUUGUCCUAUGACAUGAAGGACUCACCUCUCACCCUGACAGACCUUACUAGAAAGCCCUCCUCUCCAGCUUCCCGUUUCCUCACUGCCUGCCUUGAACUUUGUGCUUCAGCAGCAUUGUUUGUAAAUCCUCUCCAUUCCCAAAUGUCAUGCUAUGUUUCUCCUUGAGCCUUUGGCUCAGGCUGUCCCCUUAGCCUGGAAUGUCCCUGUGCCUCCUCCCUUCCUUUGCCUCACUAAUAUCUACUCAUCAUUUGGGAUUCCUCAUGGGCACUACCUUCCCUGAAUCCCAGGCUGGGUUGGAAGCUCCCACGUUUUACUUCCACACCCCCCUUGCCCUGUACCCAUCUCAGUUAUUUUACUAUAACACUGUAUUAAAAUUUUUCUGUUAAUUUCUUUACUCGCCCACCAGGCUGUGAGAUGUGUGUUAUCCGCAGUUGAAUGCUUAGCACCCGGCCCAACACCUGCACAUAGUAGGUAUUUAUUAGGUGUUUGUUGCAUAAAUAGAGGCAUGAAUGAUUGAUGGAUGUCCCUGAACACCUCUUCUGCCUCCCAUUUGCUCAGGCCCUGCUGUCAACUGAUACUCUUAAGCUGUUACCAUGUGUAGACCUUUUAAGACAAUCACUAAAUCUUUCCACAUGGGCAAGAUAAUACUCUAUGAAGAAAACAAGCCAAGAGAUCUUUUUUUUUUCUUUUUUUUUGGCUGCAUUAUUUUCUGCUUUGCACUUAGAACUCUUUUUUGGCACAGUGGAAGUUCUAAGGGCAGAGCAGGGCACUGGAAAAAUUAUUGCCUACAAACUACCUGAUGUCAGCAACAGCUGAUUCCCUGGCUGUUGGGUGUAGGAGAACCCAUUCGAGCCGGGCCAAGGCCAGAGGUAAUGUAGAUGAUUAAAGAUAAUUAGCAUUUAAUCAAGUGUCACCCACAGGCACAUCCAGAGUGCCUCUUUAUGAGCAAGGUGAAAAUACUGGCUCCUGUGCCGGCAUGUGACGUGGGAACCAGCCCACAAAUGGGUUCAAGUAGUUUGUUUUCCACCAGAGGAUCUUCCCGCCUCCCCACCCAUGCUUCUAGCAGAUCAAAAGUAAUAUGCCUGGAAAUAAUUUCCCUCUUGGUUUGAGAGUUCUGUGGUUUAAAACAAAACUACUUGUUUACAAAAAAUAGAAAAAUGACAGGCAAGAAAGACAUCUCGGGGCACAGAGGGAGUAAAAGGAGAAACAAAGCAUGUUUUAGUUUGAACUCAGACUCUGUAAAGAGGAUCUUUAAUGUGCCUCUAACUUCCAGUGAAAGUCUCAAUGUUGCAAAGAUUUUCUCUUUAGAAAGACAGUGUUCUGUCUCUUUGAGAGCUAAAUUCAAUACUCGCUUUCAUGUUAAUACCUAAAAACCAUAUUUAUGGCUUGUUUCAAGAAUAUGUGUUUCUCCUCGUGCCUGUUACUCUGACCAUAUGCCAUGGCUAGGACUUCACCGAGUUUCAGCCUAGGGUGUCUAAUACUUUGCAAAAACAUCAUCAUCUUCAUCAUCUUUUUACCAGUUUACUGGUAAAGCUCUUUGCUUUCCAUACAUAAUUUCGUUUUACUCAACAAGUUUGUAAGAUAUAUAUUAUUAUAACCAUUUUUCAGAUAUCAGGUUAAAUAACUUGCUGACGGUCAAAGAGCUAAUACCUUUUUCUGUGCUCAUUAAAGCAUAGGGAUGCUAAUAAUCACAUUAAAUAUAAUCUUUGAUUUUUUUUUUUUUUGGAAGAAAGGAUUAAUGCAACAGUCACACAUAUACUUAGGUAAAUGGUAUUUACCCUGAAACCACCUCCCAUUUCCAUCUUUCUGUGACUAUUAACUCCAACUACCAUUGACUACAACUACCAUCUUCCUGACUUCUAACCUCAGAAGGGUCAAGCAUCUAAGAAAUACUCUGUUUUAUUUGCAUAGAACUUAUCUUGAGCUCUUUGUCUCAUUGCCUCACUAUAUCUAAUUUGUCCCAAUUCCUCCUAUUUCUUAAUCCUUAGGAGUUUUUGUCUAGAAUCUAUACCCAUUUUAUUUUCUCAUUGCUAUUACAUGAAUUCUUUUCAGUCUCUUUUUCAUUUGUGAAGUGGCAAUAAUAAUGGCAAAAUUCCAUUAACAUCCAGAAGAUAGGGCUAGUACUAGGAGACGCCUCAUGGGAUUGUUCUGAUUAAGGAGACAAGACAAUGAGCAUAAAGAGCUUAUCAAAGAGCCUGGUGGAUACCCCCCAGCAAGGGAACUAAAAGUCUAAAUGCUUUUUUGUCUAAUCGCUGGUCUCUAGCCACAUGUGGCUACUGAACAUGGGACAUGUUGAGCCUGAAUUGACACCUGGAUUUUGAAGACUUAGCAUGAAAAAAAAGUGUGAAAUGUCUCAACAACUUUUUAUAUUUAUUUCUUGUUAAAAGUAUAAUAUUUUGGCUAUAUUGGAUUAAAUAAAAUCCAUUAUUAAAACUAAUUUCAGCCAUUUCCUUUUUAGUUUUUUAAUAUGGCACUGGAAAUCUAAAAUUAAAUACAUAGUGCACAUCACAUUUCUAUGGGAUGGUACUGGUGCAAUGUGGUUUUCAAGUGUUACCAGUGACCAUGACCUUUUAUUGACUCCACAUUGUCAGAAGAGCCAUCUUCAUGGCCUUGGAAGAAUCGGGGUGACACUGUUCCUCCAGGAGAGGCUUUCCUUGAGGUGAUAGCCUUCACCACUGUUGCAGCCCUGCUCCUCAGCCUCUCACCAACCCCACCUUGGCUUCAACUGGGAUAGAAAACUAACUGGCUGUUGCUGCACAGUUCAGGGGCAUUCACCCCUGAUGCUGGGGGAAUGCAUUUUCCCUAAUGUGUUCUUGCUUAGACUGUGUUAUAAGGGAAAGGAGAAGGAAGGAAGUAAAUUGUUUCAGCAUGUGGAACAUUCUGAGGAACUCUGGAAAUCUCAUUUUAGGUAGUAUUGACUGAGAGUUAAUGCUUCAGAGAUCGUCUGCCCCUGCAGAAGAUAUUUUAUCAUAAGAGGGAUGUGGACCAACAAUAGGAAACCACUGCAUUUUCUGUAACCCAGCAGAGCUUCCCCUCAUCAGUGAUUUUCUUACCAACAGCUAGCUGGGGUAGCGUGCAUCCUAGACGCUCUGCAAUUGGGAGAAGGUCUUUCAGCUUGUUUUGCUGUUUUCUCCCUUCUUCACUUAUAAUCCUUUCCUUCAACCACUGGUAGCACUAGAGAUAAGAAGAAUAUUUAAAUGUUAAAUGUCUGGUAAGGAUUUGAUCCAAAGAUUGUUAAUUUAAUAAAAUACAGGAGCCUUGUGCCUGAAAUUUGGCUCUGACCUUUCUGUUUGCUGGUGACAAGGAUGCCUAGGCCUUUGUACAAAGAAUUAGGUUCCCUGCAGUCUUGCUCCUUGUUCAUUGGUUCAAAAUAGACUGAUUUUGACUAGAACUCACCAUUCAAAUUCAUCAAUAGGCAAAAAAGUUGUUAAAAUUGGGACAUAUAGUCAAUGAUAUCUUACCUGGAAUUGAUGUUUCUUAUUUUGAUAGCCUUUAGAAUGUAGAAAAAAAGAGGCAUUUAUAUUGAACCAAGGUCUAUUUGUUUCCUUAUGGGGAGAAAGCUGGGCACCAAGCUUUCUUUUCAAAAAAAAGCCGUGAUCUUAAAAUUCUUGUUAUAACAAUUUACUCCUAGUCUCUCCCGUAUUCUUAUAAUGGGGCUUUAUUAUUAGCUUUCUCAGCUCUUUCCUAAAAGCAAAUGUGAAUGGUAUGACUGAUAGGUACUGAGUACAUUUUAAAAUUUUUAAAGUGGAUAAAGACUUUCCCAAACAUGUGUUAACUUUUGUAUAAUGUUUGGAACUUAAAAAGGCAAGGGGACUUAAAAAGGUAAACGGGAAACUUCUUUAAAACCUAUGAGAAGAGACUGAUUCAGAUGGAGACUAUAAAGUGAGCCUAAUUUCCUAAAUAUGAGGAGAAAAAAAUUUGUUAAACUUCUCAAUGCCCUACUUUCCAGAAGGUUCUGCUCCUACUAUGAAAUGAGGAACAACAGACUCUUAUGUACAAAGCUAGCUCUAAGCAACACCCAAAAAAGAAUAUUUGUAAAAAUCUGUUAGUCUCUUUUAGUGACAGUAAUGAAAACCAUCCCCUUGUGUGGCAAUGUGGACUUUCUCCAUUGCAUGUGUUUGCGACAUAAUUGCCACCACAGACCUUUACCUUCCCAAAGGCAGCGGAAAGCUGGGCAAUUGUCACAGAACCUCCACCCACAUGAUUUCAAUAGGCUUCUGGCUUUUUUUUUUUUUUUUUAAGUAUUUUUUCAUAUCCUAAGACAGCAUUUCCAAAGAAAAGGGUAACCACAUUAUGUUUUAUUAUGAUUUUUGGAAUGAUUUCACAGAUGUGAAAAGAAAGGGCGAGCUGCCCUAGUUCUAUUUGCCUCCUAGAUCUCAGAGGCUUAUAGUUUGGCUCCUUGAGUGAAGUUUGCUUAGAGAUAUGACCGAGAGCUUUCUCAGCCUCAGCUCGUGGGGGACCUCAGCUUCUUCCAGGAGGAAGUGUGGCUUGGAGCAUCCUUCCAUAGACACCCAGUGGUGCCGGCAGUGAUGAGGUGGACAGUUGAAGGCAAUGAACACUAAGAUGGGAGUCCAGCAGCCUUCUCAGUCAGCAUGCUGGGUAUAUCAGAGAGCCCCUGAACUUACUUUUAUUGUCCUCAAGGGCAAAAACAUCACCAAUCCUUGCUUUAGUUUCAUAUCACCUUUCAGGGAACCAGUAUCUCUAAAUGUUGUUAAAAUGAAAAAAACAAAACAAACCAAAAAAACAAAAACAAAAAACAAAACCAGCAGCCAAAAUGUCUCUUGAACACUUGCUUUUUAUUAGGAGAGUUCCUGAGGUUUCAACAUAUACAGACACAUAAAGGAUGAUUGAUUGAUCAAUCUUUUAAAAAUUUUUUUUUUUUGUCUUUUUAGGGCUGCACCCACGGCGUACAGAAGUCCCCAGGCAAGGGGUCAAAUCGGAGCUGUACCUGCCAGCCUAUGCCACAGCCACAGCAAUGCCAGAUCCGAACCACAACUGCGAACUACAUUACAGCUUGAGGCAACACCGGAUCCUUAACCCACUGAGCAAGGCCAGGGAUCAAACUCAAGUUCUCAUGGAUACUAGCUCUAUUUGUUACCACUGAGGCACUAUGGGAACUCCUUAUUUUUUGGCUGCACCCACAGCAUGUAAAAGUCUUUAGGCUAGGGAUCAAAUCCAUGCCAUGGCUGUAACCAGAGCCACAGCAGUAACAAUGCAGGAUUCUUAGAACACUGAGGCAUGAGGGAAAUGCCAUUUUUUGAAAUCUUAUUAUCUGCAAUGCAUUUUUAUUCUUAGGAUCAAGUUACAAGUUAGAUAAGAGUGUGUACAGUGUGUGUGUACAUGUGUAAUGCACCCCCUCCCACACACGCACAAACCACAUUGAGAAGAAGAUUUCUAAAAGUAACAAAUGCCAAACAUUCAUUUAUUGACUCUCUCUCUCCCCACCCUCAACACAAAUGUCACUGUUGCUCUAACCAGUGGAAAGUAUAAGCAGGUUAGAGUUUUUAAAAAGUAGAUGGAUAGUAUUUAUACUGCUUUCCUCAUACCAAAUGAAACAAUUGUGUUUAGGAAAUAAACAACUUGUAAUUACUUUACAAGUGAGAAAAUGUUAGCAUAGGGAGAAAUGAGACUUAACUAAAAUAUUAAUUAAAUAUGGAAGUAAAAUAGUGUUUUUUGUAAGAAGGUUGGUGGUGGGUGUGGGUGUGCACAAUCAUAAACCCAGCUUGUUGAUUGUGGGUAGCAAUCUGUUAAUCAAAAGAUAAAAUUUCAUCUUCCCCUAUUAUAUUGCUUACCCUAUUGCUGCAGUGAUUUGACUACAUGUUGACCAUUCUUUCUAACUAAGUGGAAGGCAGGGAUGGCUUCUUGUCUAUCUCAACAUCUCCAGUCUUGACACAGUGGUUGGCAGAUACCAGGAGCUCAGUCAAUAUGGCAGUGAGGAAGGGAUCUGAGAAAGCAGGACUCCACAGGGUAAAGAUCGAUUGCUUCAAUUUUUCAGAUUGAGCAUAGACACUUCCUUGAUACAGUAGGACUUGGCUGGUGGUUCUUGUGGAUUCCAGGUAGUUUCAUAAUGCACCCCACAAAAGAGCAGCCAAGUCUUCACUAUUAAAGUGGAAAUAUCUAGGUAAAAUUCUGGAGCUAAAAAAUUUUCUCCUGAAAUCAUACCAUAAUGUGCAACAUCCUUAUUGUUUUAAUGUGAAGUCCUGGAGUACUUGGUCUGCCCCUCUCCUCCCACUUUGAUCACCUAAGCUUGCAUGUUUCUUAUUUUCUUUUGACAGAAGGGUAUGUAUUUUUAUGAUUCUUCUCUAAGGUAUUUUCCCAGCAGUAGAGAAGAGCUACCCAUAACUUUUACUGCACUUUUCAUUUCUAUUUAAUUUUUUUAUUUAAAAGCUACUCACAGAGUUCUUUUGUGGUGCAAUGGGUUAAGGACCUGGCAUUGUUACCUCAGUGGCUCAGGUGGCUGCAGUGGCUUGGGUUCAGUCUCUGACCCCGGAAUUUCCAUAUGCUGUGGGUGCAGCCAAAAAAAGAAAAAAAAAAAAAAGUUGCUCACUUGGUCUCUUGAUCAGACCUUGUUGAUCCUCAGCAAGGAUCAACAGAUAAGGCUCUGUGAUUAGUUACAUGUGUAAGUUUCAGUUUCUGUCCUAAAGAUAUUUUUGAAUCAUUUCCUGGUAACCUGAGAAGUGUUUUGUAGCUGCGGUGCUCAGUGAUUUCCUCAGAAACCAUGUUUUACUGCCUCCUUGUAGGAAAUUCUUCAAUGUCAGUGGGUGACUGAGCUGAUCACAGCACCUUAUCUGUUGAGCCGCUCUCAUUGGUCUAACUGGUUGGCACAUAACCCAAGCUUGGCCAUUCUUCUUUGGACUGAAGCUGAUAAGAAAAAGAUGUUUUUUCUCUCAAGUUACAUGCCUUUAAGGAUGUAAGCCUGCAGUCACCAGUGUUCCUGCUCCUGGCCUCAUGCAGAGGACCCAUUUGCAGUAGAAGAAAAUAUACUCAUGUGCAGUAGAGGAGAUGGAGAGUCCUGACAAUGUGUAGAUCUAUGGAUGGAAUCACCUCCAAAGCCACCCUACUCCAUCUUUCCCAGGGAGCAUCUGUUUAUGCAUUCCCUUCUUUGAUUAAAUUAAGUUGAAUUGAGUUCUAUCAUUUGCAACCAGAGGAUUCUAAGACUGUGAGAAGUGUUUAUGGAAUGACAAAGGAAGGUGCAAAUAAUUAAAAACGAGUGAGGACAGGCUUCACAGAGUGAAGACAAGCUUCAUCUUUAGAGAUAAGAGCUUCUUUCUGGGGGAUAAAAAAAGAGUACAGUGAAUUUGGCUGGAAAAUGAAGUAAUAUGACUUGGGGAGUCAAGAAUGGGAAAGUGGACUCAAGAUCUCAAGAGUAUUUCCUUUCAUACUUUCCGUGAGUUUUUAGGUUUUAUCCUAUAAUCAGUGAUUGGGCAGUUAUUAAAGGGUUUUAAGCAAGGUUAUGAUAUAGUCAGAUUAUUCUUUUAGAAAGAUAAUUGGUCACAGUGUGGUGGGUAGUUCAAAAAAGGGGGAAAGAAAUCAGAGUCCAGACAGGAAGUUACUGCAGCAAACCAGAUAAGAAAUGAUGACAAUCUUAACAAGAGCGGUGCAAGAGAUGGUCUACAGAGGGUCGUGGACUGGAGGAAUUGGUGCCACGCUGGACAAGAGGGAGGAGAAGAGGCUGUUUGAGAUAACACCUUAGCUUCUGGCUGGGAUGACCAUAUGGAUGGGUGGAGGCACUGUUAACCAAAAGGAAGAGCAGGUUCUGGGGAGUAAGGACAGUGACAGAUGUCCAUGAAACAGCCAAGUGGAGAUGUCUAAUAGACAUGAAGAAGUAGCGUUUAUCUCAGCAGUGAAGUCAGCUGAUGAUACCAUUUAGAAGUCAUUAUAAAAGUAGUGGGCCAGAUGUAGCCUCCCAGAAACCCCCUGUGUAAUUUCUUUCUAAAAGAUAGGUAUUUUUCACACUGGGUUAAUUUAUCCUUCAAAUAUAGUUCAGUAUUUACAACAAAAACAACAUAUUGGCAUUUUUAUUUUAUUGGUGUAACUUCAAACAGCCAGUGUGAAACCAUUUAUUCUAUUUUGAGGGGAGAUGAAAAUUGCCAAGCUAUUUAUCUACUUGCCUAGCUUUUUAAUUUUAAAAAAUUCAAUGAAUUUUAUUAUAUUUUAUAGUUGUACAGCCAUCAUCACAACCUAAUUAUACAUUUCCAUCCCAAACGCCCAGCCCAUCCUGCCCCACAGUCUGUCUCCUUGGGUAACCCUAAGUUUUUCAGAGUCUUAGCUUUUUAUUCUUUUUUUUAAUUUGUUUUUGUUUUUUAUUUUGCUUUUUUUUUAGGGCUGCACCCAUGGCAUAUGGAGGUUCCCGGCUAGGGGCCUCAUUGGAGCUGCAGCUGCCAGCCUACACCACAGCUACAGCAACUCCAGAUCUGAGCCCAGUCUGCGACCUAUACCACAGCUCACGGCAACAUCGUAUUCUUAACCCACUGAGCGAGGCCAGGGAUUGAACCCGCAACCUCAUGGUUAUGAGUUGGAUUUCUUUCCACUGUGCCACAACGGGAACUUCUUUAGCUUUUUAUUCUUUAAAAAAUGUUUUUACUAUUAGAAUUCUCAUUUACUCUUCAUGUUGAUAUACAUGGAUAUAAUUUUAUUAUUUUUUGCUCCUGUUACUCUGCUCAAGUGGCUUUUCUAAGUGCACAUAUAUUAGUCUGGAAAACACUCAGGCUGAUGAUUUAAGAAGCCUUGAGAGUCUGUGGAGCUCUAAAGAUAGGGGUGUGCUUUGUGAUUGGCUGCUUUCACCUGUUGAGAAUCCUUAGUGUUUAUUGUUAAAGAUGUUUCAAUAGAUACUGAAAAAUCAACAACAGAAACAUUUUCUGAGUUGCUUUUGGGCCUAGCCACCUUAAAUAUUUUGCAUCCCUCCCCCUUUUGUUAGUUUUUUUUUUUUUUUUUUUUUUUUUUUUUUUUAGCUGUUUGUAAGCUUUUAUCAAACAGUGAUAGAGGUGAGCCAAUCAUACACUUCAAAUACAGUGUAGCUCCUUCUUUAAAAACUUGGGUUUGAAGGGAAUCAAAAAUAUAUUUGGGGAGAUAAACGGAGAGCCAGGAGACCUGGAUGCUACUACUAAAUUGCUCUAAUAUGAGUUUAUAUUCUUGGAUUGUUAUCUAAUCUCUUUGUGCUCUGUUUCUGCAUCUGGAAAAGGUUUACCCUCUUAUAAGCAUAGUCUGAGAACAAAUACUCGGCAUGUAUGGAAAUACUUUUAAGUUUUUCAGACAGUCUCUCAAAAAAUGUAAGUCAACAUGCUUAGCAAUAAUUGAUUAAAAACCGUCUGUAUCCAUUUAUCUUGGUGAUAAUAAAAGGAGAUGAAUAAAAUCACUUAGGCUGAUUCUGGGCACAUAGUAUAUGCUCAGUAAAAUCACAAUUUUAAAAGCUUUUUUUUUCUUCUUCUUCACUCUCUUCUUGCCUUCCUCCUUUUAUAACUUCUUUCCUAAGAUUCUUUUAGUUUUUUUCUUUGCUGACUUACUCAAUUUUUCAGAAGCAAGACCAAAUUUAAUAUUCUAGGAUAAUUCGUGUGAUAAUAAGCUAGAAACAGUACCAUGUCACCAUGUUUUAGGAAAUAUUUAUAUUGCUUUAUUUUAGAGGAUAAACAAGCUAAUAGGUCAACUGUUGCAGGCAGAAAGAAAAGCCAUAGACCUAGAAGCUUGAGAAGGUUCCAACUGGGGAAGCACUCAGUGGUUCCAACCACACUGAUUAAACGGUUAGUAGUUCCAGCUUAACUUGCCCUCGUGCUGAUCUUGUGCUGAUGGAGACAAGAGGCUGUGUCAGAAGAAUGUUUCUGCUUCCUUUUAGGGGUCUUUGGCACAUGUGAAUUUUAAAAAUGCCUAUGUUCUCUCGCUUGACAUUACAGAGUAGUUUGUGAUUCUAAUGUUAUUACACAUUCUCUCAAGUUUUAAAAACUAGACUUAUUGUUAUUAAGAAGAAGAGGUGUUUGGCGUACUCUCCAAUAAAUUAAUCAUUAAGAUGUUCUGAUGGAGAUAAUUUUGUGUCAAUGAUCUUGAAUAUCUUUAUACUUCAGAGAAGAAUUUAAGCCACAAGACUCAGUGGUCAGAGUUGAUCUCUGUGAAUGCCAGCCUUGAGUCCCAGUAACAGAGGCUUGGCUUUGAAUUUGCUUCCCAAGCCUUCCCUCCUUAUUCCCCACCCCACACAUUAAAAAACAAAACAAAACAAAACAAAAACCCUCAACUGACCUCAAACCUACUCUGCCAUGACCAGUUUGUCACAUACAGAUUUAAACUUCUAUGGCUUAAAUUUUGCUUUUUUAAGAAAAGUAAAGUUAGUUCCUCUUAUACAGAAAAGGGAUUUUACAUUAUGUCAGAUUUGAAGGAGGAAUGAAAUGCCUUCUUCGACGUAAAAAUAAGUAAGUGUAGGAAUUCGAGUCCUGCAAAUCCAACCAGGUCAUUGGGCAUUUCCCCUAUCCCUUAAAGGAGGAGAACUUUCUGUGCUGGCAGAUUAUGAAGGGCUGACUGAUGUCUGACCAGAAGCAGAGACCUCCGGAGGGCUCGGGGAGCCUGCCAGAAGACACGGGCGAGGCCAAGGCCACACUCAGCCUGAGCCAGGAAGCCACAGGCUGCUGCUGAGCUAAUCUGUUCAAUCUCCUUUCUUCCCUGCUCCCAUCCCUAGACUCCUUCCUAGAGGUGGAGGAAAAUACCUUCAAUGAAGCCCUGGAACUUUCAGGCACGCCGUUUCCAUAUUUUCCUGAGAUGAUUCCACAGGCCAGUGGAGACCAUGUCAUUGCUCCAACUCCUACGAAAGAAAAAAAAUUUUUAGAAGUUACUUCUGCAAAGUGGGAUUAAAAGUGUGGGGUGUUUAGAUAAGACUUGGUUGUGGGAAAAAGCUGGCCAGAUAUGUGAAUUAAUACCAGCAUACCUGUUUCCAUUAAAGUUUAGGUAUUUACAAUUUGUGCUUCAUUGUUAUAGACCAAUCAAAUAUGCACUGUUGGUUAUGGGGAACAAGCCUGAGAAAGUGGCUUCUCCAUAAAUUUUCUGAUGCCCCAAAUUUAUGUUUAUUUUUACACUAAGAGAUUAAUACUUGUGCUUGCACAGAGUCGAAGCACUCUGCUUAUCCACUCAGUGUCUCUUGAGUGCCUGGUGCAAAGCAGGAGCACAAGGCCUACGACCCAGUGAACACACAAUCAGUGAGAGCAGUAAUAACCAUUGCUACUGUGGUUGAAAUUUUUUAUCCUUCUUUUCCUUAUCCAGCAUUUUCCUGCUCGUGUGAACCUCCAUUUUUUAGGAAGAAAGGUAUCUUUGGAAACUGUUUUGAUAAAAUACGCCUGAAAAUGUGGCUUAUUUAUUUUUUUCUGAUGUCCACAAUUCUAUGGACAUGUGUAGGUGUUUUUUCCCUCUCUUUGGCAUUAAGUGUACAUAAACAAACAUGUGUACCUGGCUUGUCAGCUGUUCUUGAAUUCCCCCCUCUCACUCAGUUCUAGGCACAGAGCAGGAGAUAAAGGUGUAUAAAUCCAUUAUUUUUUGGAAAGGCAGUCAUAAUCCACUCAGAGAUGCAUUCUUGGCUAGAGAAAGCACCCUAUGAAAAAUGGGUUUAUUCACUGUUUCUUCCCUUAAUUCUACAGCAUUUUUUGAACACCUACUGAGUACUGCUUGUACACCAAUCACAAUGUACAGUUCCGCCUGGCCUUCAUGAGUGAUACUCUAUAGAUUGCAUGCAAGCACUUUCGAUGCUUCUGCAGACUCUGGAAUGCAUAGUGCUGAUGGUCUCUAUGUUAAUUAAGAACAUUUAGGAAAGCAAUUCAGUAUUUUUUUUCUGGAUCAUUGAUUCUCCUAUCAUUAAAAAUAAUCAGCAAAUUUGAUUGUGAAGAUUACCUAUUUUAUGGUAGAGCUCUGGUAGCUGAACUUCUACUUUCUCUCUCUGGAAAAGAUGAUACUCAGCUUGUUCACAGACUGGUGGGAUCAUAUUGAAUUGUCUGGCUACAGAGUAGGCUUCCUAGGGAGAAAUAAGAUUGCAACUGAAUUUAUACUGAUGAGAAAUAAGGCUGCUCUGAUUUGCAUGCAUGAAAAUUUUCAUUUUUGUGAAAUCAAUACAAAGCAAGAAACAUAUAGAUUGCCAAGUAAAAAGCAAAGUUAUGACCAUCAAUUUCACGAAGAGAAAUACCAAAUGCAAGAAAUCCUUAUUAUUCUCUUCCUUCCUUCCUUCCUUCCUUCCUUCCUUCCUUCCUUCCUGUCUUUCUGUCUUUCUAUUUUUCUGUCUUUUAGGGCCGCACCAUAUGGAGGUUCCCAGGCUAGGGGUCGAAUCAAAGCUGUAGCUGUCGGCUUAUGCCACAGCCACAGCAACAUGGGAUCUGAGCCACAUCUGUGACCUAUACCACAGCUCACAGCAAUGCUGGACCCUGAACCCACUGAACAAGGCCAAGGAUCAAACCUGUAUCCUCAUGGAUGCUAGUCAGAUUUAUUUUUGCUGAGCAACAAUGGGAACUCCAAGAAAUCCUUAUUAUUCUUUGGGAAGGUUUGGACUGAGUAAAGACCAGGACAAAUUAGUCAGUGUGAACUAUGGACUAUUAUAAAGAAAAUGCAGUUUGAAUAUUUCUAGGUUUCUAAAGAAAUAGAACUUAAACUAAAAUAUAAAAAUGAUCUGUAAUUAGCAGUGUUAAAAACAGUACAUUAAUCUAAUACA